rnacentral:snoRNA from 1 species
UAGUGAUGAGAUUCUUUAGAUGACGAGUCUGAUUUCGGGUUUCCCGCUGAAGACACACCUUUUUAUAACCAUUCAUGCCUUUCUGAUU